rnacentral:rRNA from 1 species
UACGGAGGGUGCAAGCGUUAAUCGGAUUUAUUGGGCGUAAAGGGCGCGUAGGCUGGUAAAUAAGUCAGGUGUGAAAUUCUGAGGCUUAACCUCAGAGCUGCAUUUGAAACUAUUUGUCUAGAGGGUAGGCGGAGAAAACGGAAUUCCACAAGUAGCGGUGAAAUGCGUAGAUAUGUGGAAGAACACCGGUGGCGAAGGCGGUUUUCUAGCUUACUCCUGACGCUGAGGCGCGAAAGUUAGGGGAUCAAACAGG